AGACAUGGAUAAGCCAUAUUGGAGAAAUCUGUGUGUUUCUCCCUGACCAAUGCAAAGAGAGUGAUGACAGUAACUCAGAACAGCUGCAUUCUAGCCCUGAUUCUGCCACCUGCACUAUACGAUAGUCUCUGAGGCUCAGACAGGGCUAAGCGCAGAAGUGGAAAGUUGAAGCUUCUCAUUCUUCUUCCUCAUCUGGCAGAGCACUCAUCAACUUUAACCUCCAGACCGUUCUUCCUAAUUGAUACAUUUACCGAUUGCAGCCCCGACUGUUUGGAGAUCUGACUCUCGGUAUCGCAAGCUUCCUGAAACUUCUGCUGGUAGAGAACAGCUCCUUCCCCGAUUCUCGCGCGCCAAACUGGUCUGGCCACUGCAGUUGUCUACCGGCCGUCAUCUGUGAUCCCACCCUGCUUGAGACCACGCUUCACUCUUGCCUUUAAAAUAUGUCGUCUUUCUUCCCUGCUCCCAUAUGUCCCAGUCCAAUAAAUCAUAGAGCAGCUGGCUGAGAAUUCUGCUCUUCUCCAGUUUGUCUUGUCCUGCGUGGCAAAGUUGUGGUGGAUUGAGCGUGACUCGGUACCUCUUCACUGACUGGGUUCCAGAGUCUCACUGCUGAUCAUCUUAUCUUGACAUCUGACGGUCAAUAUGGCUUUUAGGUGGCACGGAAGGAACAAUAAAUCCGUCAGUGGUGUUUA